rnacentral:lncRNA from 1 species
AAAUCAUGUAAUUAAACACAAUUUCAGGUUUUUUACAAAAAUAUUGUAAAAAAAUAAAAAUUUACCAAAAUGUUAUAACUUUUUUUUUAUUUACCAAAAUAUAUAUAAUUUUUUUAUUUACUAAAAUAUAUAAAAAAACAAAAAAAACCUGCAAAAAAAAUCAGAUCGAUGUGACGGGACAUUGGUCACGCCAAUGGUAUUGGCGGCACCAAAGGUGCCAAAACCAUUGGCGGCACCAAUGGUGCCAAUACCAUUGGUGGCACCAGUUAAUAAUAGGGGGGGUCGGUGGUGGGGGGCAGAAGGAGAGGGAAAGAAAGAAAAAGAAGGAAAGAAAAGGAAAGGAGAAGAGAAAAAAAGAAAGAAAGAAGAAGAAGAAAAGGAAAAGAGAAGAAAAAAGAAAGAAAGAAAGAAGGAAAGAAAAGGAAAGGAGAAGAGAAAAAAGAAGAAGAAGAAGAGGGAAGGAAGGAAAAAAAAAGAAAAAAAAGGUAAUUUUAUUUAUAAAUUUAAU